UCCGUAGGCGGGCAAUUAAGUCAGAGGUGAAAUCCCACAGCUCAACUGUGGAACUGCCUUUGAUACUGGUUGUCUUGAGUUACAGUGAAGUAGAUAGAAUAUGUAGUGUAGCGGUGAAAUGCAUAGAUAUUACAUAGAAUACCGAUUGCGAAGGCAGUCUACUAACUGUAUACUGACGCUAAUGGACGAAAGCGUGGGGAGCGAACAGGAUUAGAUACCCCUGGUAGUCC
rnacentral:rRNA from 1 species